GGACUGGUAGCUCAAUUGGAUAGAGCUCCUGACUACGGAUCAGAAGGUUGUGGGUUCGACUCCCGCCCAGUUCACCA
rnacentral:tRNA from 1 species